rnacentral:lncRNA from 1 species
AAUAAUUCAAAGGAGAAAACACCUGGUCAUCUUGAAAGGUUGCUUGUUCCUACUGAAUUGUUGCCUUAUGGGUUGACAGCAAGGCUGGAGUGUUAAGAGGUUCAGGCCAGACAGAAGGGGCUGUUAUACCACAUGAGUUACCAAGAACAAUCACUCAAACGCAAGCAACAACGCAGAAGUAAUCAGGAGUGUCCAAGCCAGGCCAGAAGCAAGACCACCUAAGGUUGAAGGAACUUUCUAAGUUGGUUCUCAACUGUCCAAAUCAAGUUUAUUUUCCAUUUCAUCAUCGUGUGUGUCAAAGGAGGGGAUUUUCUAGAAGAGAUGAGCAUUGAAGCAACACCUGUUCACUUUGACGCUGAUUUCUGCUUGAGAGGACAACAGGACGGUGAAGAGAAAGGACAGCUGCCAUGAUCCGCAGCCAGAAGGGAAAGCCCAAAAUAUCAGCACUCACCCCUGAGGUGGGCUGACUGUAACAACCGGGAGGUUUUGCCCGGUGGAGAGGAAACCCCGAGCUAUCUGAGGGAAGUCUGAGAAUAGCUGCCGGGCUGUGGAGCAGAAAAGGGCUGGGGUUGCACGGGAUGGCGGGGCUGGUCUCCACCUUUCCUUAUCCACUUCCUUCUACCCUUCCUCCUGGUCGAAGCACUUCUUGUCUCCCAAUGAAUCUUUUUGCCUGCAAAACCUAGAUACCGGAAGAGUCUUUCUGUAACACAAGAUCUAGUCAUUUCAUUCUUCUGCAUGGAAGGGUUCCCCAGGGCUGGAGGUGUGAAAGCUACAGUCCUAGCAUGAUAUGCAAAUUCCUUCAUAACUGCAAUCCACUUCUCUCCAUUUGUAUCUCUUGACUCCCCUUU